rnacentral:rRNA from 1 species
CGUGAGGGACGACUGCCUUCGGGUUGUAAACCUCUUUUGGCAGGGAAGAAGCGAAAGUGACGGUACCUGCAGAAAAAGCACCGGCUAACUACGUGCCAGCAGCCGCGGUAAUACGUAGGGUGCAAGCGUUAUCCGGAAUUAUUGGGCGUAAAGAGCUCGUAGGCGGUUUGUCGCGCCUGCUGUGAAACCCCGAGGCUCAACCUCGGGCCUGCAGUGGGUACGGGCAGACUAGAGUGCGGUAGGGGAGAUUGGAAUUCCUGGUGUAGCGGUGGAAUGCGCAGAUAUCAGGAGGAACACCGAUGGCGAAGGCAGAUCUCUGGGCCGUAACUGACGCUGAGGAGCGAAAGGGUGGGGAGCAAACAGGCUUAGAUACCCUGGUGGUCCACCCCGUAAACGUUGGGAACUAGUUGUGGGGUCCAUUCCACGGAUUCCGUGACGCAGCUAACGCAUUAAGUUCCCCGCCUGGGGAGUACGGCCGCAAGGCUAAAACUCAAAGGAAUUGACGGGGACCCGCACAAGCGGCGGAGCAUGCGGAUUAAUUCGAUGCAACGCGAAGAACCUUACCAAGGCUUGACAUAUACGAGAACGCUGCAGAAAUGUAGAACUCUUUGGACACUCGUAAACAGGUGGUGCAUGGUUGUCGUCAGCUCGUGUCGUGAGAUGUUGGGUUAAGUCCCGCAACGAGCGCAACCCUCGUUCUAUGUUGCCAGCACGUAAUGGUGGGAACUCAUGGGAUACUGCCGGGGUCAACUCGGAGGAAGGUGGGGAUGACGUCAAAUCAUCAUGCCCCUUAUGUCUUGGGCUUCACGCAUGCUACAAUGGCCGGUACAAAGGGCUGCAAUACCGUAAGGUGGAGCGAAUCCCAAAAAGCCGGUCCCAGUUCGGAUUGAGGUCUGCAACUCGACCUCAUGAAGUCGGAGUCGCUAGUAAUCGCAGAUCAGCAACGCUGCGGUGAAUACGUUCCCGGGUCUUGUACACACCGCCCGUCAAGUCAUGAAAGUCGGUAACGCCUGAAGCCGGUGGCCCAACCCUUGUGGAGGGAGCCGUCGAAGGUGGGAUCGGUAAUUAGGACU